GUUAUCCAUAGACGGGAUUGGGCGAGUGCCCUGGGGCACCAGCCAAUAAGGGGGCACCAAGUGAUUAAGAAAAUAACUAGACCUUUAAAAUAUUUUUAAUGUUUUGUAUAUAUUAUUUUGCUGGAAGAGUUGCAGAUGCAUAGAAAAUAAACAGUUAAUGAUCCAAUGUAUACAGAGAGAAUAUAAAAUAUAUGCAUGCAUAUAGAACUGCGAUUGGGUCAGGCCACAGUGUAAUUGCGCCCUCCCCCAGUCAGAGUUGAGCCCGCCAAUUUAUAAUAUUCAAUUCAUAAUGGAUAGGCAGCAUCAGCGUAGCAGUUGGGCUAAAUGUAAAUUAAAAAAUGAGAAAAUAUCAGGGCACAUAGCCAGGGCUCUACAAUGCGACUGAAAAGUACUGCGUGCAACUAUCAAAACAUACCCGAUCAGCAUUUGUGUUUGCGCUCAGGGGAGCUUCAAAGAUUUCUACUUGCGUGUUCGCGCAGCGAUGCGGAAGCUGCCUCGACGGGUCCUCAGACAAACAGGAAUGAGAAGAAGGAGCAGGAGCUUCAUUAUGGAGAAGUGACGUUCACCGACAGAAAGGUUCAACAGCAGCCGAGUAAAACACAGGAGGAGUGUGUGUACGCUCAGGUGCAGGCACACUAGUGUGAAAACCACCUGCGGUCAAUGCACUAGACUAGUGACUUCACACUUCACUGUCAUGAAGACACGACAGGACAGCUUUGGGCUGCUUAUGAUGAAAUGCUCGGCUUAUUGCACAUUUUCUUUCCUGUGUGGCAACAGAAAAAUACAGUGUCUGAUCCAGAACAGAAAUAUAAAAGGAUGAACAAUGGCCGACUUUCCAGUAAAGCCACUGAAGGGAAUCGUGACUGCUGUGAACAACUAAAGACUAGUACUAGCAGAGUACAGAAGCUGAAAACAUUACAAAUAACAUAAAAUAUUCACUUCUCAACUUUUAUUUAAGGUUUACAAUACACAUCAUAUUGGAACAACUGGUUUGUUAAACAAAGCUACGUCUCUUUAAUAGUAAAUCCAUUAAAAGGU